ACUCCGUUGGUGAACCAGCGGAGGGAUCAUUAUCGAGUUUAUAACUCCCAAACCCUAUGUGAACUUACCACUUGUUGCUUCGGCGCGCGCUUCGGCGCCGCCGAGGACACUUAAACUCUUUGUUUUUAUAAGCAUUUCUGAGUGGCCGAAAGGCAAAAUACAAAUGAAUCAAAACUUUCAACAACGGAUCUCUUGGUUCUG
rnacentral:misc_RNA from 1 species